AAGCUGUGAAGCGGAGCCAAUCCCAAAAAGCCGGUCUCAGUUCGGAUUGUAGGCUGCAACCCGCCUACAUGAAGUCGGAAUCGCUAGUAAUCGCGAGUCAGCAUAUCGCGGUGAAUACGUUCCCGGGUCUUGUACACACCGCCCGUCACACCACGGAAGUUGGCAACACCCGAAGCCGAUGGGCUAACCGCAAGGAGGACGCCGCCGAAGGUGGGGUUGAUGAUUAGGGUUAAGUCGUAACAAGGUACC
rnacentral:rRNA from 1 species